AGAACCAAGACUACCAGCC
rnacentral:piRNA from 1 species